AGUAAUCAAAGGGCAAGCUUCUUCUUACUGAAAAGGGAAGUAAUUUUUUUCCCCCUGAUUUGUCAGUGCACAGUUUGUCUUUAAAAUGUCAGUUUAGGGAGGGUGGAGCCAAGAUGGCCGAAUAGGAACAGCUCCGGUCUCCAGCUCCCAGCCCCAGCGACACAGAAGACGGGUGAUUUCUGCAUUUCUGCUUGAGUGCCUUUACUAAUCGAAUUGAUCAACGUGGUGACUUGCCACCUCCUGACCAGUCCUAGAAUGCCUGGUUUAGCCCACUCGUGGGAAUGGCCACCUUCAAACAGCAAGUGUAUGAUGCUGAGACAGGACUGGGGCAGAAAGCCAGCUCCUCCAAUGUAUCAGGCACUAUGAUGGAUUCUGGAGUUUCAAUGUUGAAUAAGAAACGCUGUCUACAUUUGAUGAGCUUGAACAACGUGUAUUAGCUCAUAUAAGUCUUUCAACAACCAAAGAGCAGUUUUCCUCCCUUGAGGCAUGAAAAAUCUAAGGUCUGGUUUGAAUGGAGGAAGAAAAACGGGGAAAGAAGACAUUACCAAGGGCAAAAAGCACACAGAUAAUAUACCAAAAAUUAUCUUGAAACAUAGAAAAUUUAUUGGAAGAGCAAAGAUAAUUAUCAGAUUAACAUUCAUAAAAGGGGAAUUAAGACAUCUUUUUAAAGAAAUUCAAAGAUUGGGUAGAUAAAAAAUGAAUAAGAACAUAGAAUACACGAACAACACAAUUAAGACUGAUGAAACAUUCACACAUAUGUACAACACUGUAUUCAACAUAGAACAGUUCUGUCAGCCUCUGAGCCCAAGCUAAGACAUCAUAUCCCCUGUGACCUGCAUGUAUACAUCCAGAUGACCUGAAGCAACUGUAGAAUCAUAAAAGAAGUGAAAAUGGCUGGUUCCUGCCUUAACUGAUGACAUCACCUUGUGAAAUUCCUUCUCCUGGCUCAGAAGCUCUCCCACUGAACACCUUGUGACUCCUGCCCCUGCCCACCAGAGAACAACCCCUUUGACUGUAAUUUUCCAUUAUCUAACCAAAUCCUGUAAAACUGCCCCACCCCUAUCUCCCUUUGCUGACUCUCUUUUCGGACUCAGCCCACCUGCACCCAGGUGAUUAAAAAGCUUUAUUGCUCACAC